CCAACCAUAGCUCAGUUGGUAGAGCGGAGGACUGUAGAAUCCAAUAUGUGGUAAUCCUUAGGUCGCUGGUUCGAAUCCGGCUGGUUGGA
rfam:Loa loa cont3.6210, whole genome shotgun sequence.